GGUCUUUCAUUUGGUACAUGGGCCGGGAAUUCGAGAAUCUUUCAUUUGGUGCAUUGGCCGGGAAACAGCGCGACCACCCAGAGGUCCUAGACCCACUUAGAGGUAAGAUUCUUUGUUCUGUUUUGGUCUGAUGUCUGUGUUCUGAUGUCUGUGUUCUGUUUCUAAGUCUGGUGCGAUCGCAGUUUCAGUUUUGCGGACGCUCAGUGAGACCGCGCUCCGAGAGGGAGUGCGGGGUGGAUAAGGAUAGACGUGUCCAGGUGUCCACCGUCCGUUCGCCCUGGGAGACGUCCCAGGAGGAUCAGGGGAGGAUCAGGGACGCCUGGUGGACCCCUUUGUAGGCCAAGAGACCAUUUGGGGUUGCGAGAUCGUGGGUUAGAGUCCCACCUCGUGCCCAGUUGCGAGAUCGUGGGUUCGAGUCCCACCUCGUGUUUUGUUGCGAGAUCGUGGGUUCGAGUCCCACCUCGCGUCUGGUCACGGGAUCGUGGGUUCGAGUCCCACCUCGUGUUUUGUUGCGAGAUCGUGGGUUCGAGUCCCACCUCGCGUCUGGUCACGGGAUCGUGGGUUCGAGUCCCACCUCGUGCAGAGGGUCUCAAUUGGCCGGCCUUAGAAAGGCCAUCUGAUUCUUCUGGUUUCUUUUUUGUCUUAGUCUCGUGUCCGCUCUUGUUGUGACUACUGUUUUUCUAGAAAUGGGACAAUCUGUGUCCACUCCCCUUUCUCUGACUCUGGUUCUGUCGCUUGGUAGUGUGUGUCUUUUGUGUCUCUUUGUGUUCGGACUUGGACUGAUGACUGACGACUGUUUUUAAGUUAUGCCUUCUGAAAUAAGCCUAAAAAUCCUGUCAGAUCCCUAUGCUGACCACUUCCUUUCAGAUCAACAGCUGCCCAGCCUCCCACUCCAACUCCAGAGAGCAGCCAGCGGGUCACAGUGGUCCCGCCCAUGGACCUGGAGCCUAGAGAAAAAUGAGCUCGGAAAUCCGGAGCAAAAGAGGAGUGGUCCCUGAGAAGUCAGUGGCCCUGGAUGUUGUGGCUGCUGAAAAAAAAAAAGAAGAGGAGGCUGUUCGAGUAGCCGGCCAAGAACGCUGCAGGUUCCCAGGCAGCUUCUCAUUCCCCUGUCCCUCUCUUGUUAACAGAAAAACUGCUUUCACUUUAAGAUAAGUGCUGGUUGCAGCCAGCUGUGAGAGCUACACUCCCGUCUCUGCUCUAAAGUUCCCUCUUCUCAGAAGGUGGCACCACCCUGAGUUGCUGGCAGUGAGUCUGUUCCAAGUUCCAGUGAGGGAGGCAUCUGCCCACUUGGGGCUUCUGUCCAAGGUAAGGAGCACCUGUGAGUCUAACUGCCAGGCUCUGAUGGGGGUCUCGUCUCUGUGGGACUAGAAAGUGUCCCAACAAUCUGACCAAGGUAACAGGAAGAUACAAAAGCAAAGAGAAGGACAGGUUAAGUUGGUAAGAAAGUUAGUGUAAGUAGAUAAAAAAGUGCAGAGGAGGAGAAACAAAGGAAGGAUAGAGGUCUGCAAAAAAGUGAGCUAAAAGCAAAUCUUCAGCAGACUCAGGAGAGAUAGGUUAACAGUGAAGAGAAGUAAAAAUAGAGAUGAAGGAGAUUAGAGAGGUCUAAAAUGAGAGAGAUACUCUGAAUGAGAAAUAUUUACAGUAAAUAAGAGUCAGACAAGAAGAAGAGUUAAGGAAACAUGAGGCUGACAAAGACAGAGACCAAAGUCAGAAUCAGAGCUGUGCUGUGAGACAAAGAGAUAAGAGAAAUAAAAUGCUGGUCACAAAAGUCAGGAAAAUUAGAAAACUUAGAUAGUACCUGGCAACAAAAAAAAAAGCUUUUGGCUAAAGAUCAACGUGUAAGAGAUAACAAAAGGGGUGCUAAUACAGAAGCUGAGUCCUUAAACGAGUCCGGUGGCCUACCUGUUAAAGCAGCUAGAAAAAAGAGACUGUGUUUCAUACUCCUCCACCGACCAGUGCAAAACAAGCUAAAAAGUUCCUGGGCACUGCGGGCUUUUGCAGAUUGUGGAUUCCAGGUUUUGCUGAGUUAAAGAGAUAAACAGCCCUUCGUAUAAAGAAAAAAAAAGAACAAUCUUAGACGGCCUUAGAUGCUCUUGAGACUGCCCUAAUGUUGUCCCCAACUUUGGGACUCCUAGAUGUGACUGAGAACAAAGGUAUUGCCAAAGAAGUUCUUACUCAGAGAUUGGGACCCUGAAAAAGACCUGUGGCAUACUUGUAAGAAAUUAGACCUGGUGGCUGUAAGAUGGCCUGCUUGUCUGCACAUAGUGGCUUCUGGUCAAGGACGCAGAUAAAUUGACUCUGAGACAAAACUUGGCACAUGUCCUAGAAAGUGUGGUUCAGCCCCCAUGACCGAUGGCUGACUAACGCUCUUAAAAGCAUUAUCCAACUGUUCCCCUGACCGAUGGACACAUUGUCAGAGCUUUGACUGAACGAGUGACCUUCGCUCCCCCUGCUAUCCUCGAUCUCACUACUGCCUGAGACUUCACCUACUCAUCAUUGUGCUGACAUUCUGGCAGAAGGAACUCAUACGCGAAAUGAUCUGAAGGAUCAGAUCAGCCUUGGCCUGAGAGUUUGAGCUGGUACACGGAUGGCAGUAGCCUAGAGGUUGAGGGUAAGCGGAAGGCGGGGACAGCAGUGCAGUGGUGGACAGAAAGCAAGUGAUCUAGGCCAGCAGCCUCCUUAAAGGGACCUCAGCCCAGAAAGCUAAACUUGUGGCUUUAAUACAAGCUCUAUAUAUACAGACCAAGAGAGCUGUUGACAUCUGCAGAGAAAGACCUAAGAUGCUGUGGCUAAAAGAAAUCAGAUGGCAAAUCUAACCGCCCAGGCAUCCUAAAGAGCAAUGAUCCUGACAGUCUAAAGACUAUCAAGUUAUAGACAAAUUAAGACUGGUAAAAGAAACCCUGUAUAAAAUAGUAGAAACUGAAGAAAGAAAACUAGUCCUCUCAUGAGAAGACAGACCUGACAUCUACUGAAAAAUAAACUUCACUGAAAAAAAAUAUGUGUAUAAAUACCUUCUGGUUUUUGUGAACGUUCUCAAGAUAGAUAAAAGCUUUUCCUUGUAAAAAUGAGACUGCUCAGAUAGUCAUCAAGAAGAUUAAAAUUUUCCAAGGUUCGGAGUGCCAAAAGCAAUAGUGUCAGAUAAUGGUCCUGCCUUUGUUGCCCAGGUAAGUCAGGGUGUGGCCAAGUAUUUAGAGGUCAAAUGAAAAUUCCAUUGUGUGUACAGACCUCAGAGCUCAGGAAAG
rnacentral:lncRNA from 1 species